rnacentral:rRNA from 1 species
UACAACUCUUAGCGGGGGAUCACUCGGCUCGUGCGUCGAUGAAGAACGCAGCUAGCUGCGAGAACUAAUGUGAAUUGCAGGACACAUUGAUCAUCGACAUUUCGAACGCACCUUGCGGCCCCGGGUUCUUCCCGGGGCUACGCCUGUCUGAGGGUCGCUU